ACCUGAUGAUGUGGGCAUUUACGGAGCAGGUCCCUAAAACACUCCCAAGUCUCAAAAAAGAGUUCCCCAUCCAUCUGUGAGAAGUUCAUGAUGGCUCUAGGA